UUUACGGGAAAACCCCAUCUUUGUUGAUCUCAUGGACUUGUCGGAGAUCUAUCUCCUUAUCCAAGAAGUUAAAAGUUUAUUCAUCCUUUUGACCACACUUUCGAGACUCCUCAAUCAUGCGAUUUCCACCCUCCCAAGACCCUCAAACCCAAAUCUUGUAUCAACAAACACUAACCCAUCCUAUUCUGUUUUUCUCCCUGCAGGGGAGGAGACAUUAAUGAACGAGCAAUAUUCCCCUUAUUGGUGGCCUCAAUCACUAUUUCCUCACUUGUCUUGAACACCUGUAUUACGUAUUGAAUAAUCAUCAACAAUCAGUCCUUAAACAAAUUAAGGGCGGCAGCAGCCAAAAAGCAAGGGUGUUCCAACAUGAUUAAUUACGGGCGAUCAAGGCGGUACUAAGAUACCGCUAGUGUGACAAGUUUGUUCAGAGAAUGGAAAACAUUGAGCCAUUUUUAUAAAUGUUUUUAAAACCACAACAUUAUCAAACCUUGCUGGUUCAUAAAAACCAAGCAAAUAUUGACAUGUACCGUCACCAAUCAGUUCAAUCCUCUAAAUAAUAAUAUAGUAAAUUUAUUGUUGGUUACAUCUUCUCUGAUUGUGUGAUCCAAUAAGAGUAAAUUUUUUUUUAUCAACCCGUUAAUAAUUUGGAACUACCAAAAUAUAUCAAAUGAAGAUAGAGAAAUUAAAUCCUAAACUUUAGGGACCAAAACUACAAUUAGACCUGCCAUGAAGCCUUAGUAGAGGAAAUUGGUUUUCAUUUUUCACUAAUCUAACUACAGAUUACCAUCAACAAACUCAAGUAAUGAGGGCCAGCUUGCUUUUGUUGACAAAUGGAUCCAAGCCCAUAUUUUCGAUUCCAAUUCAGUACUGAAAAACCACUUCUCGUAGAUAGCGGAGUUUGGCAAGACUUCCAAGUUGCCAGGGUACAGCUUAGGCCUUAGAGAAGAGAAACAACUAUUUCCGGCGGAUUUACACCUCCAUCUACGGCAGCGCUAGCGGUAGGGGAUCAUGUGCUGGUGGGCUGUUUUGGCAACUCUUGACCCUGGGAAUGGAUCACGUCGGAGAUGGCUAUCACGUUGUUUUAGAACAAUGCCCUUCAACCGCUAAUAUCAUAUGAAAAUGGAGAAUUAGAAAGGAGGAAGAUGAUGAGAGAAGGGGGAGAGGGAGGGAGAAAAUAUAAUAUUGAAUAAUAA
rnacentral:lncRNA from 1 species